UCUUCGUCUCAAGGCUUUAUCAUUCAUCUUUCAAGGUGUACCCUCAAUCCCCGGAAUAGAACGAUCCCUAUUUGCUUAUACUACUAACGAUAUUUCAGGGUUAAAUUGCGCGCUUGCUUUGAGCGCGUCAUAUGCGUUGGUCGUUUCCGGUUGCGAACCACCCAUACUUCAGCCGGCCUCACCUCGGCCUGAUCUGACACGGCCAUUCUUCCACCCAAUCACCAUUGCGUCUGAUCGUACUAGAGCACUGAUCCAUAACUGUCACAUCACCUAUUUCCUUCCUGCAAGAGAUGAUGAGUAACCUAGGACAAGGUUGUGUGGUCGCCGCACAAGGUCGGCUUCUGAGUGUCAUCAUGAGAUAACGUAGAGGGGAGGCUGAUACCGGCCGCCAUAACUGAGGGCUAGGGUUUAGGUUUCGCCAGAGCCCCAUUCAUUUAGUACAUGCUGUAUUAAUGCUGGUUACUUUGUGAUAUGACUUGGAGAGACAGAGAGAUCAACUAUAUGUAGAUAGAUAAGUAAAUAGUUUUAAGCUAUACUUACACAGAGGUCGGGUAUUGUUCUAUUCUUUUUUGUUUUUGUUAAAGAAGUGAGAAUAGUGGAUAAACCUGUGAUCUUACACUCAUCCAUAAUAACGUUUCCUUUCCGAUCAGAAUGUCAGAACCAAUGAUUCGCAUAAGAGCUAUUGAGACUAUUUGAAAAAUCAUCAUUAAUGGAGACACAAUUCACUGCUUCAGAGCCUCCAAA